rnacentral:tRNA from 1 species
UUAACUGAAGCCAAAAAGAGGCAUCUUAAUGUUAAUAAGAAAACUGUAUAUUUAUAUUCCAGUUAAA